AAAAGGAGUCUGCUGGCUACCAAAGUGACUUGAUGUUUUAGUCCCACAGAAGACCUGUAAAUUCUGGAAACCUAUGCUCAGACUUGACAUAAUAUAGUUUCUCAAUACAGGCAAAUAGUUGUAUCAAGUAGUUUUCAAAAUUUUUUGUAUGGUCAGUGUUCAUUGCUAUUUGUAAAAUUCUUUGGCAGUACAGAUCUGAUGGAUCUGGCAUGAGGGAAGGAAAUCUUAAUUACUCAGCAUUUUAAACCUCUUGACUGAGAUAUCAGAGGAGAAAAAUGUCCUUCAAAUAUUGGCAGAAUGUCAACCCAUCCUCUCUUUACACUUUACUGCCUUAUCUGAGCAUGCAAAAGACAGUGAACUUUGCAGUCAUAGUAAUGCCUGUAUUUAUACCUUCUUUCUGGAGAACUGAAAAACAGAAGGAGUUUCUUUGCUUCAAAUUCCAUUCAACCUGUCUUUUAAACCACACUGUACACCACGUUGGAAACCCAGCUUGGGGAAAGUAAAAUUCCAUUAUCAUUUCUACUUAGCUCUUUCUUCACAGGCUAGUAGGCCCAAGCUUUCAGUAAUUUUGUUGCGUAUCACUGAGCUGCCAGCAACUUAAUGACAUGUAUUUUGUAAUGAAUGCUUACAAAUAAAUAUCGUAUUUCAGAAGUUAUUGCAUCAGAAUCCAGCUUGCAAAGUCAAAAAUUGCAUUUGAUUUUUCACUGACUUAUACUGUACAGUUGUAUCCACUGGUCAGGUCUGUACCUGAAUGUUAUGGUGCUACAAUUUGGAUGAUGAUUAUGCUAUUUAAAAUAGUGUGCACCUUUAAGUGAAGAUGUAAGUAUGGGUGUACUUCAGAUGGAGAUUGCUUAAAUCUGUUCCUGUGUUGAAUAUCUAUACCAUUAUGCAGCACACUGGUACUUGUAGGAUCAUGAACACUCAAGGAGCAUAGUACAGCUUUAAAUAUAUAUCAUACAGUUAGAGUGGGAGAACUUGCACUUUAAGACAAGCCUCUUUGGUUUCUCUAAUCACUCAGACU
rnacentral:lncRNA from 7 species